rnacentral:rRNA from 1 species
GGUUAAGCGACUAAGCGUACACGGUGGAUGCCCUGGCAGUCAGAGGCGAUGAAGGACGUGCUAAUCUGCGAAAAGCGUCGGUAAGGUGAUAUGAACCGUUAUAGCCGGCGAUGUCCGAAUGGGGAAACCCAGUGCAAUUCGUUGCACUAUCGUUAACUGAAUACAUAGGUUAACGAGGCGAACCGGGGGAACUGAAACAUCUAAGUACCCCGAGGAAAAGAAAUCAACCGAGAUUCCCCCAGUAGCGGCGAGCGAACGGGGAGCAGCCCGGAGUCUGAAUCAGCUUGUGUGUUAGUGGAAGCGUCUGGAAAGUCGCAGGGUACAGGGUGAUACUCCCGUACACUAAAACGCACAGGUUGUGAACUCGAAGAGUAGGGCGGGACACGUGGUAUCCUGUCUGAAUAUGGGGGGACCAUCCUCCAAGGCUAAAUACUCCUGACUGACCGAUAGUGAACCAGUACCGUGAGGGAAAGGCGAAAAGAACCCCGGCGAGGGGAGUGAAAAAGAACCUGAAACCGUGUACGUACAAGCAGUAGGAGCCCACUAGUUGGGUGACUGCGUACCUUUUGUAUAAUGGGUCAGCGACUUAUAUUCUGUAGCAAGGUUAACCGUAUAGGGGAGCCGCAGGGAAACCGAGUCUUAACUGGGCGUUAAGUUGCAGGGUAUAGACCCGAAACCCGGUGAUCUAGCCAUGGGCAGGUUGAAGGUUGGGUAACACUAACUGGAGGACCGAACCGACUAAUGUUGAAAAAUUAGCGGAUGACUUGUGGCUGGGGGUGAAAGGCCAAUCAAACCGGGAGAUAGCUGGUUCUCCCCGAAAGCUAUUUAGGUAGCGCCUCGUGAAUUCAUCUUCGGGGGUAGAGCACUGUUUCGGCUAGGGGGUCAUCCCGACUUACCAACCCGAUGCAAACUACGAAUACCGAAGAAUGUUAUCACGGGAGACACACGGCGGGUGCUAACGUCCGUCGUGAAGAGGGAAACAACCCAGACCGCCAGCUAAGGUCCCAAAGUCAUGGUUAAGUGGGAAACGAUGUGGGAAGGCCCAGACAGCCAGGAUGUUGGCUUAGAAGCAGCCAUCAUUUAAAGAAAGCGUAAUAGCUCACUGGUCGAGUCGGCCUGCGCGGAAGAUGUAACGGGGCUAAACCAUGCACCGAAGCUGCGGCAGCGACACUAUGUGUUGUUGGGUAGGGGAGCGUUCUGUAAGCCGUUGAAGGUGGCCUGUGAGGGUUGCUGGAGGUAUCAGAAGUGCGAAUGCUGACAUAAGUAACGAUAAUGCGGGUGAAAAACCCGCACGCCGGAAGACCAAGGGUUCCUGUCCAACGUUAAUCGGGGCAGGGUGAGUCGACCCCUAAGGCGAGGCCGAAAGGCGUAGUCGAUGGGAAACAGGUUAAUAUUCCUGUACUCGGUGUUACUGCGAAGGGGGGACGGAGAAGGCUAUGUUGGCCGGGCGACGGUUGUCCCGGUUUAAGCAUGUAGGCGGAUGUUCCAGGUAAAUCCGGAACGUUAUUAACGCUGAGGUGUGAUGACGAGGCACUACGGUGCUGAAGUGACAAAUGCCCUGCUUCCAGGAAAAGCCUCUAAGCAUCAGGUAACAUCAAAUCGUACCCCAAACCGACACAGGUGGUCAGGUAGAGAAUACCAAGGCGCUUGAGAGAACUCGGGUGAAGGAACUAGGCAAAAUGGUGCCGUAACUUCGGGAGAAGGCACGCUGAUGGUAGGUGAAGUGACUUGCUCAUGGAGCUGAAAUCAGUCGAAGAUACCAGCUGGCUGCAACUGUUUAUUAAAAACACAGCACUGUGCAAACACGAAAGUGGACGUAUACGGUGUGACGCCUGCCCGGUGCCGGAAGGUUAAUUGAUGGGGUUAUCCGUAAGGAGAAGCUCUUGAUCGAAGCCCCGGUAAACGGCGGCCGUAACUAUAACGGUCCUAAGGUAGCGAAAUUCCUUGUCGGGUAAGUUCCGACCUGCACGAAUGGCGUAAUGAUGGCCAGGCUGUCUCCACCCGAGACUCAGUGAAAUUGAACUCGCUGUGAAGAUGCAGUGUACCCGCGGCAAGACGGAAAGACCCCGUGAACCUUUACUAUAGCUUGACACUGAACACUGGUCCUUGAUGUGUAGGAUAGGUGGGAGGCUUUGAAGUGUGGACGCCAGUCUGCAUGGAGCCAUCCUUGAAAUACCACCCUUUAAUGGCUGGUGUUCUAACGUGGGCCCGUAAUCCGGGUUGCGGACAGUGUCUGGUGGGUAGUUUGACUGGGGCGGUCUCCUCCUAAAGAGUAACGGAGGAGCACGAAGGUCAGCUAAUCCUGGUCGGACAUCAGGAGGUUAGUGCAAUGGCAUAAGCUGGCUUGACUGCGAGCGUGACGGCGCGAGCAGGUGCGAAAGCAGGUCAUAGUGAUCCGGUGGUUCUGAAUGGAAGGGCCAUCGCUCAACGGAUAAAAGGUACUCCGGGGAUAACAGGCUGAUACCGCCCAAGAGUUCAUAUCGACGGCGGUGUUUGGCACCUCGAUGUCGGCUCAUCACAUCCUGGGGCUGAAGUAGGUCCCAAGGGUAUGGCUGUUCGCCAUUUAAAGUGGUACGCGAGCUGGGUUUAGAACGUCGUGAGACAGUUCGGUCCCUAUCUGCCGUGGGCGCUGGAGAAUUGAGGGGGGCUGCUCCUAGUACGAGAGGACCGGAGUGGACGCAUCACUGGUGUUCGGGUUGUCAUGCCAAUGGCAUUGCCCGGUAGCUAAAUGCGGAAGAGAUAAGUGCUGAAAGCAUCUAAGCACGAAACUUGCCCCGAGAUGAGUUCUCCCUGACCCUUUAAGGGUCCUGAAGGAACGUUGAAGACGACGACGUUGAUAGGCCGGGUGUGUAAGCGCAGCGAUGCGUUGAGCUAACCGGUACUAAUGAACCGUGAGGCUUAACCUU